CGCGCCGCUGGCCGACGGCACGCCCGUGCUGCAUUGGCACGGAGACCGGUUCGAGCUGCCGCCCGGCGCGAC
rnacentral:tRNA from 1 species